rnacentral:rRNA from 1 species
ACACCGGCAGCUCAAGUGGUAGCCGCUUUUAUUGGGCCUAAAGCGUCCGUAGCCGGUCUGAUAAGUCUCUGGUGAAAUCCCACAGCUUAACUGUGGGAAUUGCUGGAGAUACUAUCAUGACUCGAGGUCGGGAGAGGCUGGAGGUACUCCCAGGGUAGGGGUGAAAUCCUGUAAUCCUGGGAGGACCACCUGUGGCGAAGGCGUCCAGCUGGAACGAACCUGACGGUGAGGGACGAAAGCCAGGGGCGCGAACCGGAUUAGAUACCCGGGUAGUCCUGGCCGUAAACGAUGUGGACUUGGUGUUGGGAUGGCUUCGAGCUGCCCCAGUGCCGAAGGGAAGCUGUUAAGUCCACCGCCUGGGAAGUACGGUCGCAAGACUGAAACUCAAAUGAAUUGACGGGG